AGCAGAGAUGCUUUAGUGCCUUCGGGAACUCUGAGACAGGUGCUGCAUGGCUGUCGUCAGCUCGUGUUGUGAAAUGUUGGGUUAAGUCCCGCAACGAGCGCAACCCUAUCCUUUGUUGCCAGCGAUUCGGUCGGGAACUCAAAGGAGACUGCCGGUGAUAAACCGGAGGAAGGUGGGGAUGACGUCAAGUCAUCAUGGCCCUUACGAGUAGGGCUACACACGUGCUACAAUGGCGCAUACAAAGAGAAGCGACCUCGCGAGAGCAAGCGGACCUCAUAAAGUGCGUCGUAGUCCGGAUUGGAGUCUGCAACUCGACUCCAUGAAGUCGGAAUCGCUAGUAAUCGUAGAUCAGAAUGCUACGGUGAAUACGUUCCCGGGCCUUGUACACACCGCCCGUCACACCAUGGGAGUGGGUUGCAAAAGAAGUAGAUAGCUUAACCUUCGGGAGGGCGUUUACCACUUUGUGAUUCAUGACUGGGGUGAAGUCGUAACAAGGUAGGCGUAGCGAG
rnacentral:rRNA from 1 species